rnacentral:tRNA from 1 species
GGGCGGUUAGCUCAGUUGGUUUAGAGCGCCUGCCUUACAAGCAGGAGGUCGGGGGUUCAAAUCCCUCACCGCCCA